CGUAGGUGGCAAGCGUUGUCCGGAAUUAUUGGGCGUAAAGCGCGCGCAGGCGGCUACUUAAGUCCAUCUUAAAGUGCGGGGCUUAACCCGUGAUGGGAUGGAAACUGAGAAGCUGGAGUGUCGGAGAGGAAAGUGGAAUUCCUAGUGUAGCGGUGAAAUGCGUAGAGAUUAGGAAGAACACCGGUGGCGAAGGCGACUUUCUGGACGACAACUGACGCUUAGGCGCGAAAGCGUGGGGAGCAAACAGGAUU
rnacentral:rRNA from 1 species